UCAAUUGAUUAGUUUCCUUCAGCCUAAUUUGCAGCCAUCUUAGCCAAGCCUUCAUAUUUCUUCCCUUUUCAACCUGGUCCCUCAUUUUCCAACUGGAGAAGUCUCUUCUCAAUCGCCUAGGCAACGGAGACAAGAGCUAGGACGCUGUCGCACGGCCUAGCUUCUGUCAGAGAAGUGGAAGAGCUUUCUUGUAUGCCUUACUAUGAAGAAAUGGCGAAUGGGAGAAAGUAGGUGAUAACUGCACAACUACGUAGUGACAGAUUUGGGACUGAAGCCAAGUUUCCUGCUUCAUUAUUCCAGUGUGCUUUCUUCUGCAUUGAGACCAACCACAGAACCUAGAAGAGUAGAACGGAAAUUUCUCCUCCCCUGCAGUAUUGUUGGGCCUGUUGACCUCACUGUCACAACCUCAUCGAGUAUGACAUUCAAAAGAGCGAAGGAGCUAAGGAAGGGAAAGCUUACUUCACUCACCAAAGAUUGCAGAGCUAAAAAGGGAUGGUGCCAAUCCCCCUGGUACAUAGUUGUAUAUUCUUCGUUGUGGGUCCUUUUGUUGUGUCAUGUGGGACGCCGCCUCAGCGUGGUUCGACGAGCAGUGCCAUGUCCGUGCCCAGGAUUCGAACCAACGAAACACUGGGCCGCCUGCAGUGGAGCGCGCAAACUCAACCAUUCGGCCAUGGGGCCAACCCCGGUGCCAGUGUACCAGAAGCACAAGAAAGAUGAUCAGAGAAUUAAGAAAAAGAAGAAAAUACCGAAUGAGAUUAAGAAGGAAAAUUUGGGACAAAACCUGGAGGUGUCCUUCACACCAACACCCCCCUCAUCCAAUGUAUCACAGUGGACUAUAUAUCUAUUUAACCCCAAAAGGUGUCUUGAACUGAUCGAUUUUCUCCCACGCUUUUACUGCCUUCUUGCUUUAGUCUAAUCCGUCAUCAUCUCUCCAUGUAUAUCUGGAAGAACUUCCUAAUUGCUCUCCCUCCUUUUACUUUUAUCCCCCUGCAAUCCAUUCCGCACACCAGUAAUUGCAGUGAUUUAUUUAAAAUGCAAAUAGGAUCAUGUAGUUUCCUUACUUAUCAUCUUUCAAGGGCUCCUUACUGCACUUAGGAUAAAAUAUAGACCCAUAACCUUGCCUUUGGGGCUCUGCAGAUUGCUGCCCCUGCCUCUACCGCCAGCCUCAUCUUGCACCAUCUCUUGUUCCUCACAGCCAGCAGGCACUACUGCCCUCCUUUCAACCGCAAGCACAGUAGCACUGAGCUCUUCACUGAAUCAGGACUGCUACUCACGCUGUUAUUCUGCCUGGAAUGCUUUUUACUCAACUUGUCCUUCAGGUUUAUUAUGCUGAUGUACAUACCUUGGCGGCUGAAUGUCUGGGGGCCAGAUGAUUGAAAGAGCACAAUAUGAGAACUAAGAUUCUAGAGGCUGGAAUGUGCAUGUCAUUUUGAUUGUAUGUGAUGUAUACCUGUACAUAUGGGAUGGCAUCCCCUUGAGUUUUAGAACAGUACUGAUUUCAUGUCACUUCAUUUUUUUAAAGAAAGUUAGUUCUCUAAAUGCAAAAUCACCUGUGAUUUAAAUUUCCUGCUUUCUGAACUCAUUCAGUAUAUAACAAUUCACAUAUCAGUUUUUUAAAAAGGUAAAAAAGCUCUUAUCCUACCCUGGGCUUCCAUUUUUGUUUCAGAACGUGGACAUGUUGUUUGUGCCAACAAAAGGGAAUUCAAGGAGCCAGAUUAGAAAGGUCAUUAAGAACAGACUAGAGCAAGAAGCUCAGUUUCCAGCCCUCCACUGGAGUGAGGUCUAGUCUCCAGACAGAGAGAGAGAGAAGAAAGAAGGAGGACGAGGGAGAAGGAGUGGGCAUAACAGGCAAGUUCACUAGCAGAAAUAAUGUGCCUUGGAGGAGAGCAGCCUUCGAAUGUCUGAUAAGAGGUGACCGCUUAUUAGCUGUUUGAUCCUAGACAUGUCAGUUAAUCUUUCUGGAUCUCAGUUCCUUUUCCUUGUAGAUGAAAGGACGAAACCCCAUUAGAAAUACUUGCCUGCUCUAUGAUCCUUUGAUUCUUGUUUUCUCUAUAAUGGUGGAAGCACGAGAAAGAGUAUAUCUGAGCAAAAGGGAUAGGAAAAAGAUGAUUAAUUGUGACAGAAUAGAAAGACGAAGAAGAAAGGCAUGGAUGGUAGCUAUGAAGGGAAAGUAUAUGAGAAAAUAAAGAUUCAGAUCUUUUUCCUUGCCCAGCUUAUUUAUUUAACAGAUAUUUAUUAGUACUUAACGUAGCAUUGACGAUGUGCCAGCUAUUGUUCUAAGGGCUUUACAAAAGUGAACUCAUUUGAUACUUGGGAGGUAAGUACUGCUGUUAGAUCUUAUAGCUGAGGAAACUGAGGCACUGAGAGGUCAAGAAACCUAACCCAAGUCAUAUAACUAGUAAGGGCCACGUCACACCCAGGCAGUCUGGCUCCAGGGUCCAGGCUGUUAUAAUGCUUAUUUUCCUGUUAGAAUUUACCAUGCAUUUUCCUCAAUGAAAAUCUCUACAUCAAAGACGAAAACUUAUUGAACUGUAACAAAAAUAAUAAAUCACUCCAGACGUAUUUAGGCUAACACAUACCCUAUUUGUUUCUGUGUAAUUACACUUUCUCAAGAGCCUGCCACAUUUGGCAUCACUGUUUUCUUACGAACUCUUCAAGCAAGACUAAUGCAAAAUGGAGAGGAUUGUUCUUUGUUCAGCUGCAAACCAGGUGGCACAAAGCACAGAGAAGAAAGCCAGGCUCCGGAGAACGUGUGAAGGGAACCAACCGACAAAUGAAAACUCACGCAGAGCUUGCCUUUAAUCAGGAAACAUUUUCAUUCAAACGCUUGCAAACUUUAAAAAUUUUUAAGUUUAUAUUCUAUAAUCUUUCUACCACUCUAUUGGAAAAAAAAGCUCCAAAAAGGAAGAUUAUUAAAAUAAAACAAAAUAGUUUGGUUUUGUCAUUUGGAAACAUUUCAAGCUCAAGAUCUAUGUUGAUC
ensembl:lncRNA